rnacentral:rRNA from 1 species
AUUGAACGCUAGCGGGAUGCCUUACACAUGCAAGUCGAACGGAGUGGCGAACGGGUGAGUAAUGUAUCGGAACGUGCCCAGUAGCGGGGGAUAACUACGCGAAAGCGUAGCUAAUACCGCAUAUUAUUGGAGCGGCCGAUUGCGGAUUAGCUAGUUGGGGGGGUAACGGCUCACCAAGGCGACGAACCGUAGCUGGUUUGAGAGGACGCCCAGCCAAACUGGGACUGAGACACGGCCCAGACUCCUACGGGAGGCAGCAGUGGAGAAUUUUGGACAAUGGGGGAAGCCCUGAUCCGGCGAUCCCGCGUAUGCGUUGAAGGCCUUCGGGUUGUAAAGCACUUUUGGCAGGAAAGCGGUACCUGCAGAAUAAGCACCGGCUAACUACGUGCCAGCAGCCGCGGUAAUUC